GAUGAACGCUAGCGGCAGGCCUAAUACAUGCAAGUCGAGGGGCAGCGCGGUAGCAAUACUGGCGGCGACCGGCGCACGGGUGCGUAACACGUAUGCAACCUACCUUCAACUGGAGGAUAGCCCGGGGAAACUCGGAUUAAUACUCCAUAACACAGGGAUCCCGCAUGGGAAUAUUGUUAAAGCUACGGCGGUUGAAGAUGGGCAUGCGUUCGAUUAGCUAGUUGGUGUAGGUAACGGCUCACCAAGGCUACGAUCGAUAGGGGGUCUGAGAGGAUGAUCCCCCACACUGGUACUGAGAUACGGACCAGACUCCUACGGGAGGCAGCAGUAGGGAAUAUUGGUCAAUGGGCGCAAGCCUGAACCAGCCAUGCCGCGUGCAGGAAGAAGGCCCUCUGGGUUGUAAACUGCUUUUGAUAGGGAACAAAUGCCACUUGCGAGUGGAGCUGAGUGUACCUAUAGAAUAAGCACCGGCUAACUACGUGCCAGCAGCCGCGGUAA
rnacentral:rRNA from 1 species